rnacentral:tRNA from 88 species
GUCGGGAUAGCUCAGUUGGUAGAGCAGAGGACUGAAAAUCCUC